CGCCUGUUACGUAUACUGAAGGUAUACCGGAAAAUUACUUACUCAGGAUACAUUCAGUAUACGAACAGGAG
rnacentral:pre_miRNA from 1 species